rnacentral:lncRNA from 1 species
GCAGGGUUAAUCCCUUCUAAUAACAACCCACCAUCUCGCCUGUGUUUUUCUGGGAAAAAAGAAAAUGUUGUGUUUUAAUCCUCAGUUUAACCUAUUCGACACUCCGGCUGUCCCUUCUCUUUUUGUGCAGAUUUCAUUCAUCGUUUCCUCUUUGCCUUUUAUUGCUUACCCACCAGUCCGAUCAUAAUCUUUUAAAUUUAAUUUCCAAACUGCUAGUCCCAGCACCGCCUUCAAAGGAGUAGCUGAAAGAGAGUGCUUCACAAUGGCACCAUGGUUGUGUCUAAUGUUUCAUUGAUGGCCGUGAUAGAUGGAAAAAAGUAAGUCCUUAUUUUUUCAGUUAAUUUAAUUAAUGAGAAUGGAUACUGAAAGGGUUGGAAAUUUUUAAUGGUUAUGUCGGCAUCUUAUCCUAAAGAUUUGACAUUUUUUUUUCCUUGAUUCUUGAUUAAUCACCCAAACUCGCAUUCCCUCUUCACGGUUGCUCACUUAUUAUCUUUAGUUGUGCAAUUAAUUUCCAUCCGUCUGAUUUCAUUAGUCUAAUCUGACGGAUCAUAUUUACUUAAUGUAAGUAACUUUAUUAUGUAAGAUAACAAGGCCCCCCUCUUAGGUAUCUUACCCUAGCCAAACCGGUUCAUUUUAAAACCGAUUUAUUAUUUUUCAAACCGAUUUAUUUUGGUUUGUUAUAAAUACACAGAAAGUAAAUACUAGGGACUUUAACCUAGUGAUAGGCUUGAAUCUUCAACUUUGUUGAUGGCACAACUAUUUUUGCGGAAAACGUUUGUGAGUAGAAAUAUUUUUUUUUAAAACAUUAGUACGAGUAAAAUUUUGUACUGGUAAUAGUAAAUUUUCUUGAUUAUAAUGUAAAUGCAUUUAAUUUUUUUUUGUUGUAAAUUUUGUAUUUUAUCAUGUACAGGUUGUAUCAAAUUUAAAAAAAAUUAUUCAAAAACAAAAAAAUAGAACAUAAAAAAGUUACAAUAUUUUUUUAAACUUAUCCAAGGUGUAUUUCAAAUAAGGAGUUAUGAGAGAUGUGGUAUUUAAUAAGAGAAUGAUGAUUUUGAAUAAUUUUUCAGUUCAUUUUUUAGUCCUUACAUGAUGAAUAUGACAUUAUGUAGGACGCAGAUAAGUUUUUGGAUGAUAUAGGCACUGCUUAAUCAAACAAAGGCUUUUGUUAUGUUAUAUAAUCAUGUAAUAUACACGAUCAUGUAGCAGCAUGAAAAUCCAACGGUUGUAAAAAUAACAUGAUUUUAUUAUCUUAUAUUUUUACAACCGUUGAAUUUUCAUCCAACGGCUACUACAUAAUCAUGUAACAUACACGAUUAUGUAACAUAACAAUCUCCUGAAACAAAACAAGUUCGAUAUUAAUGCUAAUAAUAUUGAAAUAAAAAUAUUUUAACCUUUAGUAGCCCACAAACUACACAAAAUUUUAAACAACAUAUUUGGGUUUAAGGUGCUGAUGUAGUUAGAUAGCAGAAGAAAAAAUAAAAUUAGUUAAUUAAACUUUGGGAAGAGGGUGAAAUAGUUCCGAACACAAUGAGAACUAAAUGAUGCUAUAAUCUGAAACGAAGUCCUUAGACUCACAUUGUUGUGAAAUUUUAAAAUAAUGCACGAANNNNNNNNNNNNNNNNNNNNNNNNNNNNNNNNNNNNNNNNNNNNNNNNNNNNNNNNNNNNNNNNNNNNNNNNNNNNNNNNNNNNNNNNNNNNNNNNNNNNCAAAAAAUAGAAUUAGAAUCGAACUCAAAAUGAAGAACCUAAAACAUACCUAAUUGACUCCAAUUAAAAUGAUAGGCAACCCUUAUAUGUUGAUUAGUAGUACAGAUUUCCAAACUUCGAUAUAGACAGAUUAGUACAUUGUAAUAUAAUUCAUUAAAAAAUUAUGUAAAUACAGUUGUUGUGCCUCCAAUAUUAUGCCGAAGCACAAAUAUAUACCUUUAGGAUCUACCUGGUAGUUGGAUAAAAUCAUGUGAUUGGUUUAUUUUUGUUGGAAGUAACUCUAAUACUACAAUUUGGUUUAUAAUUAAGUAAACUUAAAAUAAAUUUUUCGGCCCCGCCAUAUGAUUCAAUGAAUAGGGUGAAAACUUGUUCAAGGAGAGCUAGGGAUAAUUUUCUUAUGGCUAAAAUAUAAUCCUAAGUAUUGCAUGAGUCAAGGAAAAAGAUUAAAAAGGGAAAAAAAUCUUCUUCUUUUUUCCAAAUUAAUGAUGUAUGGUUAAAUAAAUAUAUGUGGUUAACUAAUUGAUUUUGUUUUUAAUAUUUUAAUAACAAAUUAUUUUUAGCAUCUAAUUUGUUCUUAUACAAUCCAAUCUAAUCUUUCACACAUCAAUGAUGUGGUGCAGAUUCAACAACUGUACAAGUCAUGUAGCUUUCAUCCUUUAAAACAAACAAGGAGGUCGUUGUGCAAGUCCUGUGGUCGAUAGAAAGCAGCUCCGUAGCUAAGUUUUGUUUUGUUUUCUAAAUUUUGUUUUAGAAUUAAUUGAUACCCAGCCUGUCUUCCAAUCGACUUUUUAUUCUAAUCAUCCUAUUUGCGUCCCGACAACACAUAAAUAAAUAAUAAUGUUUGAUAUUUUAAUAUUUAAAUUUUAAUUUGAAUACUAAUUGAUGUGGUAUUCAUCAUAAUUUUAUAAAUUUUAAAAUUUAUCAUUUAAUAAAUAAGUGACGCAUAGUAUUUAGAUUUAAUUUAAGACUUAAAUAUUAGAAUCCUUAACAUUAUUGAUAAAUAAAUCACAAAAAUGUACAAAAAUUAAUGAAAAACAGAACAAGAGGAGACAGCAUAUAAGUUGUAUCAUCGGGCUUAUGUAUUCUAUAGUUAAUUAGAAUUUUCAAGUUAAUCUCUAUUCAGAUUAAAUUUAUCAAAUGAAGUACAGAAAAAAAAAAUUAGAAAAGUGUAAUGCCCAGGAUAUUUUGUUAAAGUAGAAUGGAAACUGGA